CGCAAAAGCAGCGAGCAAGACGCUUCGCUCUCAUUGAAAACAACGACGAGCAUGCGGAUAAUACGCGCUCCGUCCGAUCGUGAAUGUAAUAGUUAAUUGUAUAUUAAUCAUAUGUGCGACUGAUUUCAAGAUUUCGUCGCCUUAAACGGUGCCGUUUAAGGCACAAAACAAGGGCGUGGGACAUGGCUAUGUGCUGGACGGUUGGUUUACAUCACGAGACCCUUCCAGAGCUGUGCCACUGCAAUCAGCAAACAAGCGGCUGUGAGGUAGCUUUCAUAUUUACAAAACGAAAGAUAAUUUAACGCGUUACAGUUAACAAUAAAUAUUACCGCAGAGAAUAGUCUGAAUCAUCGGUAGAGAGCGUAUGGAUGUAGCUAAGCCGAGAAAUGCAGUAUAACGUCUCCGCAACGCAAGCCCAAACGGCAACCUCAGCGUCGACGUCAGCAGCUUAAACGUUGACUAAACCAAAUGUAAUGUUAUGUUUCCCAGUUGAUUAAUACCACUUUCAUACUCACAUAUUGGUCCGUCGACGUGUAGCUAGUGGUAAACACCAGAGUCGAUGAUAUGUCCUUAGCUAUUUCACCGCAUCUCCAUCAUCCUCCGUCGUCCGCUACGUCACGAGCAACUGUGACGUUAGCGGUGCUUCAGGAGGAUAGACUGGGUGACAACAUCGCUCAGUUGCUUGGUAUUGCCAGAGCAGGCUUGCCUUCCACUGCUAUUUCCUUGCCCAUGUUUAAAGAUGCAGUAAUUGACUUGACACUCAGAGGCAGCAGAACAAGCUGGAAACACGAUGUUGACACAUGAUACACAAUAAUGCUUCUGUAACUCUGUAUUCCUGUUGUAUGUUUGAGCAGCCUGACCUUGACGCUUCCUUGAGGAGACAGCAGCAGUGUCUGGGAAGCUUCCCGUUUGCCAUCGACCACUACAAAUCUACUUGAACCCACAUAAAGCUGCUGCUGAUCCAGACGCACCGCAACAUCUUGUUUGGCUUCAGCUGUAGGGAGACAACACACAGCCUUCUCGCUG